GAGCCUUACAAAAACUGCAAACCAGGAUAUGUUGGGAAAGGUAAAAGAGGAGAAUUGCAGGGCAUCUACUCUGAUGACCAACAUCCAGGCUAUUGCAGUCCCUUCUGCAACCAGAUAUCAUAGUUUGGUUUUCCCGGACGCUGCCCGUCAUGGACUUCGGGUCGUGGACUUCGGGUCGUGGCUGAACCUGUCUCUGCAGUCCUGCCUUGGGUCAUGCUGCUUCCCUGAUGGCUUCCUCAUAUAUUCUGAACAAUCUGUGCUGUUUUCCUAUCCACAUGUAAAAGGAACUAGAAGGAUUUCUUGAUACUAAGGGCUGUAGAGAAAAGUUUGGAGCUUUUUCCAUUAACGUUGAAGUUCAAAUUCUCAAUAAACACUUGAAUGCUG